GAUGAACGCUGGCGGCGUGCCUAACACAUGCAAGUCGAACGGAACUGUUUUGAAAGUUUUCUUCGGACUGUAUCGGAUUUCGUUUAGUGGAGGACGGGUGAGUAACGCGUGAGUAAUCUGCCUUCAAGAGGGGACUAACAUUCUGAAAAGAAUGCUAAUACCGCAUGACAUAUCGGAACCACAUGGUUUUGUUAUCAACGAUUUUAUCGCUUGCAGAUGGACUGGCGUCCGUUUAGUUAGUUGGUGAGGUACCGGCGCACCAAGACCGCGAUCGGUAGCCGGACAGAGAAGAUGAGCGGCAGCAUUGGGAGUGAGACACGGCCCGGACUCCUACGGGAAGGAGCAGUGGGGGAUAGUGCGAAAGGGGGGCAACCCAGACGGAGCAACGCCGCGUGAAGGAUGAAGGUUUGCGAAGAGUAAACUUCUUUGAUUAAGGGCGAAAAAUGACGGUACUUAAUGAGAAAGCCCCGGCUAACUACGUG
rnacentral:rRNA from 1 species